rnacentral:rRNA from 1 species
GACGAACGCUGGCGGCGUGCUUAACACAUGCAAGUCGAACGGAAAGGCCCUGCUUUUGUGGGGUGCUCGAGUGGCGAACGGGUGAGUAACACGUGAGUAACCUGCCCUUUACUUUGGGAUAACUUCAGGAAACUUGGUCUAAUACCGGAUAGGAUCUCCUGCUGCAUGGUGUGGGUUGGAAAGUUUCGGCGGUUGGGGAUGGACUCGCGGCUUAUCAGCUUGUUGGUGGGGUAGUGGCUUACCAAGGGUUUGACGGGUAGCCGACCUGAGAGGGUGACCGGCGAAAUUGGGACGGAGAUACGGCACAGAAUACUACGGGAGGCAGCAGUGGGGAAUAUUGCACAAUGGGCGGAAGCAUGAUGAAGCAAAGCCGCGUGCGGGAUGACGGCCUUCGGGUUGAAAACCGAUUUAGCAUGUGAAGAAGAGUGAGUGACGGUAAUGGGUAAAGAAGCACCGGCUAACUACGUG